UUUCUCUCCCCCUCUCUCCCUCUCUUCUACCCUCUCUUUGGGGUUGAUGAGCGUGUCCUUGGGUGAGGGUAAGAAAAUAAAACAGAGACAUAUGGUGCCUGACAGAGAAGAGAUAGAAAAGCUGCUAAAAAAAGAAAAUUAAAAUCGAAAAAGAAGAAGAAGGAAGAGGAGGAGGAGGAGGGAGAGAAGAGAGAUUGAUCGCCAGAGUUAAAAAAAAAAAAUGUACUUGGAUUUCACAGGAAGUACCACAGAGGAGGCGGACCUGAUUUCCAGCUGCUUGGUAAGAGCUCACGGGAGUCCCUGCAGAGCCUGAACGUCAUGGCUGAGAGCACAGAGGCUGAGACCAGACUGCCUGCGUGUAAACCCCAGCUCACCAGUUCCAGCUGUGUGACCUUGGUUAAGAAAUUGACUUCUCGGGGCCUCCAUCUCUUCACUUGCCAAUAUUUCCCCCAGCUGAGAGAUGGCGUGUGAGGCUCAACUGGACCAAGGGCAUUCAAGGCCGGGACUGGUGCUGCCACCCCGGGGUGGGGGGAGGGGGAGGAGAGAAGUGCCCUUUCUAUCGGAGCUGCGGAGCAGGCAGGAUGGGAGAGCCUGGAGCUGCUGCAGCCAUGCGUGGUACCUCGCGGGGACAGCCCCCCUGAGAGUAACGCUAAGCCAGGGGACACAGACAAAGGAGCUGCUGAGACACAGUCAUGAUGACUUGGUCUGAGCCCCUGGAUGCCACUUUGCCUAAAGCAAGUCAUCUUUGGACUUCCCAGUUUCAUGAGCCAGUAAAUUCCCCGGUUUGUGAAAGCCACUUUCAGCUGGAUUUUUCUCAGUGGAAAGUAUCCGGGCUGCCACCAGGGGGUUAAGCCACUUGCCCACGGCCCGAAAGCUCGUGAGGAGCCAGCCCAGGAUGCAGAGGCUCCUAACCCACUGAGCCUGCUGCUCCAGCGCUGCCGCCGGGGCCAGCCUUCUGCAUUUGGGGGUUUACCCUCUCUGAGCAGCCGUUUUCUCAUCCGACAAACGGGACAGCACCUGACCUGCAGGAC